UAAGAAGAUAUAGAGUCAAUGAUGACGAG
rnacentral:sRNA from 1 species